UUGUGUCGCUGCAGGUUGCAGCCAGAGCCCUUCGGUAGCUAGCUCCCGGCAUUGCGGCAGCCAUGCGGACCCUCAUGAUGGUGAUUAAAAGCAGCUCCAUGAAUUUGGAAAGUGGGCAGAGGAGUCUACCUCCUCCUCAGGGGCAUUUUCAGCCCACAGCUGAGCACAGAGGGCUGCAUGCGCUGGUGAAGUACGUGGGAUGUGCUCCAUGGGGCUGCGACCUCUUCGGGGGGGCAAGAGGCAGUCAUGCGAUGGUAAGCACAGAGCACAGAUUAAGCGAAAACUAUUACGAGGGUGAACGUCAGCCCCAGGACACUGGGGCAUCCCCAGAUGGAGGGCUCCGCACCACGGGGGAUGGCUGAUGCUUCCUCUGAUCCUGACCCACACGGGCAGCUCCCGGCCGGGAUGCAAUCUGGCCUCGCAGAUGCAGAGUGCGAUCUCUCUUGUAGACCUUGAAUCCUGCAAGAGGAACUAUAGGGAUGGAUUUUCAAAAUCAGUCAGAAUUAGUGGGAUCCAGGCCUUACCUGAGAUAGAUAGCAACAGAAUUAGCCACAUGAUUUCUCCUCUGGGUUUACAGGGGCAAUAUUUUUCCAAAGUUCAAAGUCUUUAUCUGCAGGAAGCAUGUGACAUGCUUCGCAGUCACGCCAUAGUUUUGGUGCUAUGAACAAUUAAAAAAAUCAAUUUCUGGAGCAAUAUUUUCUAUGUUUGUAAUCUCUGAACUAAUUACAGGACUGGAAAAUCAAUAGCUAUCUGGAAAUCUUUCCAAUGCGGCUAACUAAGCAUGCUACAUAUCAUGCUGGAAUAUAUUCUUCACAAACACAUGAUGCUUGUGACCAUCUCCCAGAUCAUAUGGGCAGAUGAUAUCACUGUCAAUAAGCGUCUGUACUUCAUUACACUGCAAUGGCAACAUUUACCAAAAUCUGCAGGGGGGGACUGGGCACAGCAAAUAGCACAGUAUGUGAGAUCUGGAGCAACAUUUGUGCCAGCAUUUUAAGCCAACAACAAAAAGUGUUGAAAGACUCGGUUAGUUCAACAGGAAUCUUCAAAAAGAUUACGAAAUAAAGUCAUUAAAAGUUCACGCCUCAGCUAUAAUGUUGUUUUUUCAUCAGGAUUUAUUAAAAAAAAAAAUAGUAAAACCUUUGGUGACUGAAAAUAACCUCUUUCUCUAGUGUCCUAGCAAGAGAGAGCGGUGUUAAAUGGGUAGUUCAAUGGCGAAUACACGUCAAAACACACACGUAAAAAGGAAGGGUGUUGCUCUGAUGAAUAUGAUCUCCUCUUGCUGUACAAACAUGCAAUGUUGACCAUGGCAACUCAGUUGGAGCCAAAGCCCAAACCCUUGUGCUGAUGCUCUGUACCGCUUCCCGCACACCACAGGCGUUGCUGGGAUCUUAUUUGAGAUGCUGCCGCCUCACUCGUGCCCUGCAAGAGCUCAGCCUGCUCUUCCUUGGUACGGUAGAGUUUGUGCUGCUGCUAAAUGGAGAGUAAAUAUUCCCAUCAGACGCAGUGCCAAAAGCACAGCAAGUGGAUAAGGAGCAAAGACCACAGUACAGGUGGUUUUCCCCACGCUCCUGUUUGCACCGCUGCUUGGUACAACAGAGCGAUGAAUUCUGAGCUGUCACGACACCACAAAUAUUUGCUCUCGUUUUAUAUGUUUUUCUCUGAUUAUUCUUCAUAGCUUUUUUCCCCCCUCAGUGAAUCGAACAGAGGAAAAGUGGGAUUGGGGUACAUCUCUGCCCUCGCUCCCUCCGCAAGCCGGGGGAUUCCCGCAGAUGCACCCACACCCGCAGCUCUCCAAGGUGGGGAUCCUCGUCCCAGCGCGGAGCUUCAGGUCCUGCAACCCAGGAAGGUAGGGUGCGGAGUGUGCUUUGUUCCAGCCCUCAUCUCAGGAAAGAGGCCACGAUUUAUAGUCCCUCCUAAAUAAGAAUUUAGCAGGACUCCCACGUCCAGCUCAGGAGCUCCUGUGCACGGUGCAGCACAUGGGCAGGGAGAAAGGAACCCCUCGAGCUCCUGACAGCUUGCCCGGAGAAGUGGAGCCGGACCGGAGCGUGGCCAUGGGUGUUUAUGGUAACAGGACUGCCUCGCCUGCACCCAGAACAUACACUCCCAUGGGGUGGCUUUGCUAAUCUGGGCUGGUUUCUGCCAGAAAGCAACAGUUACAAAAACAUUGUGCUUGCCAUAAUCGCAGCCACAAUUUCCCUUUUAACUCCUAAGGUUGAAAUGACCUUGAUGCUAACUCAGAGCUGCCGGGCACCACGUACUGUUCAGACUCUAUGGGAACAUACCCACGGCUGCUGCGCUCUGCUUCAACGUGUCUUCUCCUCGGAUGAUGCCAUCUAUGGACUUUUCCAUGAUUCUUGCCAGUGUAAUGUCAUAUUUCAUUCAAAUAAAAGUUGAUUGGAGUGCAAGAAAUCACUUCUAUUUCUAUCUUAGGAAAGAAAGGCUGCAGGGUCUGCGCAUCACCUAAUGGAAAAGACCUGAGAAAAAAGAGCUCAGACCCUUCAGAAAUCUUUCAAAGAGAAGCUACAGCUCUCCCUUACCUCUUUUAAAAUUAAUGCAUCACACUUUUUACCUGCUGAGCAGCAAAGUUUCUAACACCGUUUCCAAAUAACCCAGAGGUACGGUAUGGCAGUGCUGUCGCCGGCUGGUUUAUAAAGAGGGCGAGAGCAGGACACACGGCGAGGGAUCGCUGCCUCUCGCGACGUUCCCCUGGCUGCCGGCCAUCAGCACCUCGGGGGCAUCCCGAACUAGAGGUUUGCACGGAGAUUAUUGGGUUUAACAGCCGCCAGAGCGUGUGUCACCCAUGAAUUUGUCUAAUCCUUCCUCGAACACAGUUACACUUUCAGCUCUGCAAUGCCCUUCGGCAACGGUUGCCAUUGUUUAAUCAGGAGCUGUGCAAGAGUUUGCUUUAAACCUCCUACCUCAUCCUUUCAUUUACAGGAUCCUUUGCUCUUGUAAUAAUAAAUGCAGCUCGCAGUGCUGAGCAGGAUGGAUUCUGAUGCUCCAGUUUGCAAAACCAACAGGGUCUUACAGAGGUAGGAUAACACAAAGUCUGGUAAAAAUCCCAGGGGGGAUUUUCAGGAGUGCAUUUCCCACUGCAAGCCAGCACUAGCCACUGCUCUUGAAAAAUCCCACCUUUACUCAUUAUUUAUUAUAUGUUUCCUGUGAAUGAAUUUCUGGCUCAAAUUAGAGUUAUAAUAAAAGUCUAAAAAAAAAUCUUCUCUGAGGAAAAAAUCCAGUUCUGUACUUCCUUCCCCAAGAUUUGUUGCGUGUUCUGCAAUAGGAGAUGUGAAUCAUGGCAGUAUUUAUAACAGCGAUAUUAGGAAAUGAUCAUUCAGGCACCAGAAAUCUGUGUUAGACAUUAUGUCUUUAAAUAAAUUGUUUAUUACUAUGUUAACCUUAUCUUGUAAAUACAUGUACACUUAACUAUAUUAAAAAUGUAAACAUUCCCAGAA